rnacentral:rRNA from 1 species
GAUGAACGCUGGCGGCGUGCCUAAUACAUGCAAGUCGAGCGAACAGACGAGGAGCUUGCUCCUUUGACGUUAGCGGCGGACGGGUGAGUAACACGUAGGUAACCUACCUAUAAGACUGGGAUAACUUCGGGAAACCGGAGCUAAUACCGGAUAAUAUUUCGAACCGCAUGGUUCGAUAGUGAAAGAUGGCUUUGCUAUCACUUAUAGAUGGACCUGCGCCGUAUUAGCUAGUUGGUAAGGUAACGGCUUACCAAGGCAACGAUACGUAGCCGACCUGAGAGGGUGAUCGGCCACACUGGAACUGAGACACGGUCCAGACUCCUACGGGAGGCAGCAGUAGGGAACCUUCCGCAAUGGGCGAAAGCCUGACGAAGCAACGCCGCGUGAGUGAUGAAGGUCUUCGGAUCGUAAAACUCUGUUAUUAGGGAAGAACAAACGUGUAAGUAACUGUGCACGUCUUGACGGUACCUAAUCAGAAAGCCACGGCUAACUACGUG